UCAUUUUUUAUCGUUAUUAUAUCAACACAAAAUUUAAUAUGUCAAAUAAGUUUGAAUGAUACAUGAAAUUGAUAGAUGGCGUGCAAUAUCGAUUAUAACAGAUCGAUCUCUUAGUAGCCAUUUUUUCGAAUAGUUUCUAACGUCGCGUCGCGUCGUUAAACACCAUUUUAUAGUUAUUAUUAAUUGAAUGAUUUGUUCUCUCAAUUUCUCACAACAAUUUCCUCAUAAGUAUAUUUGAAAUGCUUCAAAUUUAAUACAGUUACAUCCAAGAUUGUGUAGGAGUUAAGAAUUUCUAAAAGAGUCCCGUUAAGCGAAUUCCAAUUCGGAAAUUUCAAUGAUAAAUGGACAGAAUGAUAACUGCUAUUUAAAGAGUAGAACGUUUAAUCGAAAUUUAUUUUUAUAUAAAAGUAUACAAUGAUUUCAAAGUUUGUAUUCACACAUCUUAUAAGGGAAAAUCGAUAACUGACGGAUACGAAUUUUUAUGAAACUUUAAAAUUAUUUAUUAGUCUAACCUACAAAUCUGUUGCAUUUGGUUAAUUAGUUAUUAACUCUAAAGAAAAAAGAAACGAGGAAACCUCAUAGAAAUUUAAAACUUGCAUAAUUAACAUUUAUAAGUGGAUGCAGUAAAAAGUAAUUUUUCAUUUAUGCGUAUAAGUAAGUCUUAAAAAAACUUGGAAGUACUAUUGAAAAAAAAGUUAAAGAGCAUUCACACACGUAUACAGCAGAAAAAUUUAAAAAAAAA